UACAGGGGGUGCAAGCGUUGUUCGGAAUUACUGGGCGUAAAGGGUGCGCAGGCGGCGUCGCAAGUCAGGCGUGAAAUCCCCGGGCUUAACCUGGGAACUGCACUUGAAACUACGAUGCUGGAGUAUGGCAGAGGGAGGUGGAAUUCCACGUGUAGCGGUGAAAUGCGUAGAGAUGUGGAGGAACACCGAUGGCGAAGGCAGCCUCCUGGGCCAAUACUGACGCUCAUGCACGAAAGCGUGGGGAGCAAACAGG
rnacentral:rRNA from 1 species